GUGUGCUUUGUUCUUUCAAGUAGUGUUACGCCGCUGGAGCUUACGAUGCGGCAUCUAGAUUUAUUAUUGAGACUUGUUCCUUCAUUCAUGCAGGUUUUUGGUACUUCUUCAUCAUGGCCACUGGACAUCUAUUCUCCCGCACCACGCAAGCUCUAUUCUAUAACUACAAGCAACUCCCAAUCCAGCGGAUGCUUGAUUUUGACUUCCUUUGUAGUGUGUAGGACAAGUCGGGCCACUGCAAUCUAUGUGUUUCUUUCCUUAAUAUGCUUGCUGGGAUCUUCUUUUCAAUGGAAGUCAUUAAUGUUACUCGAACUUUCCUGUUUUGUGUAGGGCGGGGGAAACACCAUCGGUUGCAGGUAUUAUCAACCCUGGUUCUGAGGGAUUUCAGAAACUCUCCUUUGGCCAGGAGGAAAUUGCUAUCCCAGUUCAUUCGACCACUGAAGCAGCAUGUGCGGUACAUCCUACUGCUGAUGGGUCCAUCAACUUUGCUUCAUUCAGAAGUGCUGCUGCUUCAUCACUGGCUGCUCUAAAACAGCAAACUAUAAGAGUUGUAGCCAUUAUUGCUGAAGGUGUUCCAGAGUAAGACACCAAACAGUUAAUUGCAUAUGCUCGUGCAAACAAUAAGGUGAGAAGAACGCUAGCUAU